rnacentral:rRNA from 1 species
UUAAGCGACUAAGCGUACACGGUGGAUGCCCUGGCAGUCAGAGGCGAUGAAGGACGUGCUAAUCUGCGAAAAGCGUCGGUAAGGUGAUAUGAACCGUUAUAACCGGCGAUGUCCGAAUGGGGAAACCCAGUGCAAUUCGUUGCACUAUCGUUAACUGAAUACAUAGGUUAACGAGGCGAACCGGGGGAACUGAAACAUCUAAGUACCCCGAGGAAAAGAAAUCAACCGAGAUUCCCCCAGUAGCGGCGAGCGAACGGGGAGCAGCCCAGAGUCUGAAUCAGCUUGUGUGUUAGUGGAACGGUCUGGAAAGUCCGACGGUACAGGGUGAUAGUCCCGUACACCAAAAUGCACAGGUUGUGAACUCGAAGAGUAGGGCGGGACACGUGGUAUCCUGUCUGAAUAUGGGGGGACCAUCCUCCAAGGCUAAAUACUCCUGACUGACCGAUAGUGAACCAGUACCGUGAGGGAAAGGCGAAAAGAACCCCGGCGAGGGGAGUGAAAAAGAACCUGAAACCGUGUACGUACAAGCAGUGGGAGCACCUUCGGGUGUGACUGCGUACCUUUUGUAUAAUGGGUCAGCGACUUAUAUUCUGUAGCAAGGUUAACCGUAUAGGGGAGCCGCAGGGAAACCGAGUCUUAACUGGGCGUUAAGUUGCAGGGUAUAGACCCGAAACCCGGUGAUCUAGCCAUGGGCAGGUUGAAGGUUGGGUAACACUAACUGGAGGACCGAACCGACUAAUGUUGAAAAAUUAGCGGAUGACUUGUGGCUGGGGGUGAAAGGCCAAUCAAACCGGGAGAUAGCUGGUUCUCCCCGAAAGCUAUUUAGGUAGCGCCUCGUGAACUCAUCUUCGGGGGUAGAGCACUGUUUCGGCUAGGGGGUCAUCCCGACUUACCAACCCGAUGCAAACUACGAAUACCGAAGAAUGUUAUCACGGGAGACACACGGCGGGUGCUAACGUCCGUCGUGAAGAGGGAAACAACCCAGACCGCCAGCUAAGGUCCCAAAGUCAUGGUUAAGUGGGAAACGAUGUGGGAAGGCACAGACAGCCAGGAUGUUGGCUUAGAAGCAGCCAUCAUUUAAAGAAAGCGUAAUAGCUCACUGGUCGAGUCGGCCUGCGCGGAAGAUGUAACGGGGCUAAACCAUGCACCGAAGCUGCGGCAGCGACACUAUGUGUUGUUGGGUAGGGGAGCGUUCUGUAAGCCUGCGAAGGUGUGCUGUGAGGCAUGCUGGAGGUAUCAGAAGUGCGAAUGCUGACAUAAGUAACGAUAAAGCGGGUGAAAAGCCCGCUCGCCGGAAGACCAAGGGUUCCUGUCCAACGUUAAUCGGGGCAGGGUGAGUCGACCCCUAAGGCGAGGCCGAAAGGCGUAGUCGAUGGGAAACAGGUUAAUAUUCCUGUACUUGGUGUUACUGCGAAGGGGGGACGGAGAAGGCUAUGUUAGCCGGGCGACGGUUGUCCCGGUUUAAGCAUGUAGGCUGGUUAUCCAGGCAAAUCCGGAUAAUCAAGGCUGAGGUGUGAUGACGAGGCACUACGGUGCUGAAGUAACAAAUGCCCUGCUUCCAGGAAAAGCCUCUAAGCAUCAGGUAACAUCAAAUCGUACCCCAAACCGACACAGGUGGUCAGGUAGAGAAUACCAAGGCGCUUGAGAGAACUCGGGUGAAGGAACUAGGCAAAAUGGUGCCGUAACUUCGGGAGAAGGCACGCUGGUGUGUAGGUGAAGUCCCUGCGGAUGGAGCUGAGACCAGUCGAAGAUACCAGCUGGCUGCAACUGUUUAUUAAAAACACAGCACUGUGCAAACACGAAAGUGGACGUAUACGGUGUGACGCCUGCCCGGUGCCGGAAGGUUAAUUGAUGGGGUUAUCCGUAAGGAGAAGCUCUUGAUCGAAGCCCCGGUAAACGGCGGCCGUAACUAUAACGGUCCUAAGGUAGCGAAAUUCCUUGUCGGGUAAGUUCCGACCUGCACGAAUGGCGUAAUGAUGGCCAGGCUGUCUCCACCCGAGACUCAGUGAAAUUGAACUCGCUGUGAAGAUGCAGUGUACCCGCGGCAAGACGGAAAGACCCCGUGAACCUUUACUAUAGCUUGACACUGAACAUUGAGCCUUGAUGUGUAGGAUAGGUGGGAGGCUUUGAAGCGUGGACGCCAGUCUGCGUGGAGCCAACCUUGAAAUACCACCCUUUAAUGUUUGAUGUUCUAACGUUGGCCCCU